AUGUGAGGGCAGUCUGGCUGGGACAUCUGUUACCCCACUGAUCACCAGGACUGAUUCAGGUUAUCUGGCUAGCUAGGCGGGUGUCUCAUUCCUCCCUCACCGAU
rnacentral:snRNA from 1 species